UACGUAGGGAGCAAGCGUUGUUCGGAUUUACUGGGCGUAAAGGGCGCGUAGGCGGCAUGUUAAGUCAGCUGUGAAAUCUCCGAGCUUAACUCGGAACUGUCAGCUGAUACUGAUGUGCUUGAGUGCGGAAGGGGCAAUCGGAAUUCUUGGUGUAGCGGUGAAAUGCGUAGAUAUCAGGAGGAACACCUGUGGUGUAGACAGCUUACUGGACCAUUUCUGACGCUGAGACACGAAAGCGUGGGUAGCAAACAGG
rnacentral:rRNA from 1 species